UACGGGGGGGGUAAGCGUUGUUCGGAAUUACUGGGCGUAAAGGGCUCGUAGGCGGCCAACUAAGUCAGACGUGAAAUCCCUCGGCUUAACCGGGGAACUGCGUCUGAUACUGGAUGGCUUGAGUUCGGGAGAGGGAUGCGGAGUUCCAGGUGUAGCGGUGAAAUGCGUAGAUAUCUGGAGGAACACCGGUGGCGAAGGCGGGUCUCUGGGCCGAUACUGACGCUGAGGAGCGAAAGCGUGGGGAGCGAACAGG
rnacentral:rRNA from 1 species